AGAGGGUGCGAGCGUUGUCCGGAAUCACUGGGCGUAAAGGGCGCGUAGGUGGCUUGGUAAGCGUGUGGUGAAAGCUCGGGGCUCAACCCCGAGUCGGCCAUGCGAACUGCCGAGCUUGAGCAUGGUAGAGGCAGGUGGAAUUCCGGGUGUAGCGGUGGAAUGCGUAGAUAUCCGGAAGAACACCGGUGGCGAAGGCGGCCUGCUGGGCCAUUGCUGACACUGAGGCGCGACAGCGUGGGGAGCAAACAGGAUUAGAUACCCUGGUAGUCCACGCCGUAAACGAUGGGCACUAGGUGCUUGGGGGAGCGACCCCCUGAGUGCCGGCGCUAACGCAUGAAGUGCCCCGCCUGGGGAGUACGGCCGCAAGGCUG
rnacentral:rRNA from 1 species